CCAGACUCCUACGGGAGGCAGCAGUGAGGAAUAUUGGUCAAUGGCCGCAGGGCUGAACCAGCCAAGUCGCGUGAGGGAUGACGGUCCUAUGGAUUGUAAACCUCUUUUGUCAGGGAGCAAAGGGCGCCACGUGUGGCGUUUUGCGAGUACCUGAAGAAAAAGCAUCGGCUAACUCCGUGCCAGCAGCCGCGGUAAUACGUAGGGUGCGAGCGUUAAUCGGAAUUACUGGGCGUAAAGGGUGUGCAGGCGGUUUUGCAAGAUGGAUGUGAAAGCCCCGGGCUUAACCUGGGAAAGCCAUACAUGACUGCAAGACUAGAGUGCGUCAGAGGGGGGUGGAAUUCCAAGUGUAGCAGUGAAAUGCGUAGAUAUUUGGAAGAACACCGAUGGCGAAGGCAGCCCCCUGGGACGCAACUGACGCUCAUACACGAAAGCGUGGGGAGCAAACAGGAUUAGAUACCCCCGUACU
rnacentral:rRNA from 1 species